rfam:Rhizobium oryzae strain 1.7048 scaffold25, whole genome shotgun sequence.
UCAGCAUGAACUGGUGGUGGGCCCGCUGACAGCGGCCUCGACCCCUCAUGCGUUUGAGAUGCGUGAUUGAGACGACAAGCCGCCCGAACAUUCGAGGCGGCUUUUUU